rnacentral:rRNA from 1 species
AGCUGUUGCUGGUCUCUCGGGACAUGUGCACGCUUCAUCAGUCCUUUCAACCACCUGUGCACUCUUGAUAUAGAUUCGUGAGCAGUUAUUGCUUCAAGUCAAGUAUGACUUGGUUGCUGGGUGAAGUCAGUAGCCUAGCUUUGAUGACUGGUAGCGGGUCUAUAUAUCUUACACACCCUAAUGUAUGUCUAAUGAAUGUUAUUACUUGGGCCAUGUGCCUAUAAACCUAAUACAACUUUCAACAACGGAUCUCUUGGCUCUCGCAUCGAUGAAGAACGCAGCGAAAUGCGAUAAGUAAUGUGAAUUGCAGAAUUCAGUGAAUCAUCGAAUCUUUGAACGCACCUUGCGCCCCUUGGUAUUCCGAGGGGCAUGCCUGUUUGAGUGUCAUUAAAUUCUCAAAUCUAUAGCAUUUUUGUGCUGUAUGAUUUGGAUUGUUGGAGGUUUGCCGGCUUUCGCGAGUCCGGCUCCUCUUAAAUGCAUUAGCAGGACUUUUGUUGCCUCUGCGCACAGUGUGAUAAUUAUCUACGCUGGAUGCAUGCAAUGACUACACGAAGUCGAGCUCUCGAACCGUCUCUCGAGACAAUCAAUUGACAAUUUGACCUCAAAUCAGGUAGGACUACCCGCUGAACUUAAGCAUAUCA